rnacentral:rRNA from 1 species
AGCGAACGCUGGCGGCAGGCUUAACACAUGCAAGUCAAACGCCCGUAGCAAUACGGGAGUGGCAGACGGGUGAGUAACGCGUGGGAACAUGCCCUUUGGUUCGGAAUAACUCAGGGAAACUUGAGCUAAUACCGGAUAAGCCCGAGAGGGGAAAGAUUUAUCGCCGAAGGAUUGGCCCGCGUCCGAUUAGCUAGUUGGUGAGGUAAUGGCUCACCAAGGCGACGAUCGGUAGCUGGUCUGAGAGGAUGAUCAGCCACACUGGGACUGAGACACGGCCCAGACUCCUACGGGAGGCAGCAGUGGGGAAUAUUGGACAAUGGGGGCAACCCUGAUCCAGCCAUGCCGCGUGAGUGAUGAAGGCCCUAGGGUUGUAAAGCUCUUUCGGCGGGGACGAUAAUGACGGUACCCGCAGAAGAAGCCCCGGCUAACUUCGUGCCAGCAGCCGCAGUAACAC